AGAACGAACGCUGGCGGCAUGCCUAAUACAUGCAAGUCGAACGAACUCUUCGGAGUUAGUGGCGCACGGGUGCGUAACGCGUGGGAAUCUGCCCCUUGGUUCGGAAUAACAGUUGGAAACGACUGCUAAUACCGGAUGAUGACGAAAGUCCAAAGAUUUAUCGCCAAGGGAUGAGCCCGCGUAGGAUUAGCUAGUUGGUGAGGUAAAGGCUCACCAAGGCAACGAUCCUUAGCUGGUCUGAGAGGAUGAUCAGCCACACUGGGACUGAGACACGGCCCAGACUCCUACGGGAGGCAGCAGUGGGGAAUUUGGACAAUGGGGGAAACCCUGAUCCAGCCAUCCCGCGUGUGCGAUGAAGGCCUUCGGGUUGUAAAGCACUUUUGGCAGGGAAGAAACGGCGUUGACUAA
rnacentral:rRNA from 1 species